UUAUCUGGAGCAAUAUUUGGCUUUAUUUUCGUUAACCAAACACAACGCAGGCAUUCGCAUUACCGCUACCAACGCUUCGAGAUGAGCAAAAACCACCUCUGACGCCCCCAAUCCAAACCACCUCUGACAUCUUCAUCUUCAUCUUCAUCUUCAUCUUCGGUAAGCUCUAUCAGCUGAGUACUUAUCAUUCCCAAUUUCGUUUCACUUUCUUUAACUUUCUUUCCCCUUUUUCUCGGGAAAAUCUGCUGAAGCAAUCUCCCGAUGGCGACGCAAUCCGCGGCUCCUCCCAAUCCCACCGAUGAUAAACCCCAAAACCCAGGUGACUUCUUCUUCCUAUUUUGUUUGAUUCACU
rnacentral:lncRNA from 1 species